rnacentral:tRNA from 2 species
GCGGUCGUGGCGGAAUUGGUAGACGCGCAGCGUUGAGGUCGCUGUUCUGUAAAAAGGGUGAGGGUUCGAGUCCCUCCGACCGCACCA